CUAAUACCGCAUAAUGUCGCAAGACCAAAGAGGGGGACCUUCGGGCCUCUUGCCAUCGGAUGUGCCCAGAUGGGAUUAGCUAGUAGGUGGGGUAAAGGCUCACCUAGGCGACGAUCCCUAGCUGGUCUGAGAGGAUGACCAGCCACACUGGAACUGAGACACGGUCCAGACUCCUACGGGAGGCAGCAGUGGGGAAUAUUGCACAAUGGGCGCAAGCCUGAUGCAGCCAUGCCGCGUGUAUGAAGAAGGCCUUCGGGUUGUAAAGUACUUUCAGCGGGGAGGAAGGGAGUAAAGUUAAUACCUUUGCUCAUUGACGUUACCCGCAGAAGAAGCACCGGCUAACUCCGUGCCAGCAGCCGCGGUAAUACGGAGGGUGCAAGCGUUAAUCGGAAUUACUGGGCGUAAAGCGCACGCAGGCGGUUUGUUAAGUCAGAUGUGAA
rnacentral:rRNA from 1 species